rnacentral:rRNA from 1 species
GGGAUAACAGGAGGAAACUCCUGCUAAUACCGCAUAGCCAUGAGCACCGCAUGGAGCUCAUGCCAAAUAUCCUUUCGGGGAUAGCGCAGGGAUGGACCUAUGGCGCAUUAGCUUGUUGGCGGGGCAACGGCCCACCAAGGCAACGAUGCGUAGCCGGCCUGAGAGGGCGGACGGCCACAUUGGGACUGAGACACGGCCCAGACUCCUACGGGAGGCAGCAGUAGGGAAUUUUCGGCAAUGGGGGAAACCCUGACCGAGCAACGCCGCGUGAGCGAAGAAGGCCUUCGGGUCGUAAAGCUCUGUUGUAAAGGAAGAACGGCGCAUACAGGAAAUGGUAUGCGAGUGACGGUACUUUACCAGAAAGCCACGGCUAACUACGUGCCAGCAGCCGCGGUAAUACGUAGGUGGCGAGCGUUAUCCGGAAUCAUUGGGCGUAAAGAGGGGGCAGGCGGCCGCAAGGGUCUGUGGUGAAAGACCGAAGCUAAACUUCGGUAAGCCAUGGAAACCGGGCGGCUAGAGUGCGGAAGAGGACCGUGGAAUUCCAUGUGUAGCGGUGAAAUGCGUAGAUAUAUGGAGGAACACCAGUGGCGAAGGCGACGGUCUGGGCCGCAACUGACGCUCAUUCCCGAAAGCGUGGGGAGCAAAUAGGAUUAGAUACCCUAGUAGUCCACGCCGUAA